AGCGAACGCUGGCGGCAGGCUUAACACAUGCAAGUCGAGCGGGCGUAGCAAUACGUCAGCGGCAGACGGGUGAGUAACGCGUGGGAACAUACCUUUUGGUUCGGAACAACACAGGGAAACUUGUGCUAAUACCGGAUAAGCCCUUACGGGGAAAGAUUUAUCGCCGAAAGAUUGGCCCGCGUCUGAUUAGCUAGUUGGUGAGGUAAUGGCUCACCAAGGCGACGAUCAGAGCUGGUCUGAGAGGAUGAUCAGCCACAUUGGGACU
rnacentral:rRNA from 1 species